rnacentral:tRNA from 1 species
GUGUAUAUGGUGUAAUAAACACGUUAGCUUUUCAUGCUAGAAUUAUAUCCUAUAUUAUACACA